UUCCUCGCGCCGCAAACUCUGAACGGCGGCGGCCAGGGCCUGGACUUGCUGUACCAAGGCGUCGAACUGUUCCGGCUGGACCAGAGGAACUGGGUCAGCCGGAGUUGGAGAAUUCUGGACAGAGUGUCCAGGGCUUUGCGGGGGACGCCGGGAGAUGUUAGAGGCUCCCUUACUUCUCAACUUCAUGACUGCUACUCGGGCCCUUCCUCUAGCGCCAACUGUUGCUGGAAAUUGGACCCGGGGGCAAUCUUCGGUCGAGGAGAGGGAGCGGGGAGUGAGUUCUCACGGCGGGGCGGCGGUCCGUCGGCGAGCGGCG
rnacentral:lncRNA from 1 species